GGCUUUGAAUUCCAAAGAGUGUACGGAGAACUGUUUUCAGCUGAAGUUGUUUGCACAGUCUCUGAAUGAAGCUAUUGUAAAGAAAAAAAUUUCAUUGGAAGGCUACUGAGCGUUGCACUGAAAUCACAGAAGUAUCUGUGUAUACUGCAACAUAACAUGCUACAAAAAACCCCACCACCAACACACACCCAAACAAAAAAAACCCCAAACCAAAACCAAACAAGGAAAUGACUGCAAAAAGGUAUAUUUUGACAACCUCAGAAAUAAAGAGAGUCUUCACUGACAGUUUUGCCAUUGCACUGUUACCAGGGGCUCUUGCCCCACAAAUUCAAGACAUCUGUCUUGUAUCCUUGAAUUGGUAUCAGUUUCAAAUUAUUCUUUGUUGCUAUCACGCCUCUUGAACUUCCUUCUCUCUUCAACUCACGAUCUGUCCAUAAUUUUUCGCCGGUUUACCCACCUUUGCCUCUUUUCGUAUCUCUAUGCUAUUCCCUCCGUAUGCUAGACUGGCAAUGCCAACCUUGCACAUAGGUAUUUGUUACCCUCUCCGUCAUCUUCCCUACUUAAAUUUUCUCGAAAAGCUGUACAUCAGUGCUUCUAAUACAAAUCCUGAGAUUUUUGAGAGUCCUGUGACAUCUGUAAAAACUAAAAAUAGGUGGCUGUACAUGCAUACAUCUUCAGUUUACUAAUAUAUUGCUAAAGGCAACUUUGUACAAAAUGAAAAACUAACAACUACUUCAGAUACACAGAAAGACUUAGGUAAAUAUGUUAGCUUUCAGAUAUUUCCUCUCACAGCAAAUUAACACUCAAUAUAGUUACAGUGUGAAAUUCACUGGGUCUGAGUACUCAGCGCUUGUCCAUUGUAGUUAUCAUUUCUGUUCCCACUGACCCUUUCUAGGGAGUCAUUGAGCCCAGUGUAAUAAUUUGCUGCAAAUAGCCUUUAUUCAAAUGAGGAAUUGCUCACGAGAAUUAUGAAUUCACAUAGUGAUACCUCUUACAGGAUUAGAUCUAAUAAAAUGUCACCUGAUACAAUUUCUUAUGGAAAUGAGUUUUCUAGACCAUUUCUCUCUUUCUAGUUGCGCUGUUACCUCUGCUGCCGCCAUAUUCCAAAGAAAUUUAUUGUUAUUUUCAUUUCUUUAAUUUACACAAAAUGUUUACUGAACAUAAUUGUUAUGGCAAAGUCUCUUUUUGCAGGGCAAAGAGAAUUGUGCACGAAUAAUUCAGUCUAUUGAGUUAUUCACAACCAUUGUGUUUGCGCCCUACUGACACUGUAUUUUUCUCUGAAAAAUAUUGGAAAUUAUUUUCACUGAUGGGAAAUAAUGAGUCAAUGAGAUAAGAGACACUGGAUUCAGUAAGCUCAAUGCAAAUUAUUGUAGAAAGUUUUUAAAGUGUCUGUCCAUAAAAUAUCAGUGGUUGUUUUUUUCUUCCUCAAGGUUACUUUGAAAGCAAAUAUUUUGAGGCUGCCAUAGACUUUUGGUUACUCUGAGAGCCAGUGAAGAAAGAAAAUAAAAAAUCCAGAGUAAGAGACAAGUAAGCAAUGGUAAUGACUAGAAAAAUCCAUGAGAAAUGCAGUCAGUUCUGCAGAUUUCAGCUGUAUAUAUAUGAAGAUGUACACCUGUGAGAUUUUCAAACUCGAUUAGAACUACCUGGAUUAGAAGCUCGCUUAGAAGAUCCUGGAAUUACUGUCGGUAAGAGAAGCAAGUACCCUUUUGUCUCAU